CCUGAGCAAAAAUUGCUUUUUAGAAGAGUCCCACAUUGGCCAAUACUGGCCCAGCUCUAAUGCCUCUGCUGCAUUGAGUUACCGGCUCAGAGCAGCCCUGAAAGCAUAUGGUCUGUGUUGCACACCAUGGUGGAUCUGGGGGAUAUGACAGCAGGAGGCUGUCAGCUAACUGCACAGGCCCUUUCCUGAUGGGCCAUCUGAAAGGUACAUUGUUGAAUGGAUACAAGGGUGAAACAUAUUACAGAGCCAUGGCUGCCAAUAUUCCCAAGAGAGAAUGAACUUUUGACUCUGGGCAUCAUACAAAGCCUCAAGCUGUUCCCUGUAGAGUGAAGAGCUUGGAUGGAGUUAAGGACUUCAGUGGUUCUUGCUAAUGCUUUCAGGCAGCUUCACCUGUAUUUGCAUCAUCCAGGCAGUCUGCGCCUGAGAAGCACACAGAACAGCUAAAGAUCACGGCUUGUUUUGAAUAUGCCAGCCAGGAUUCCUGGGAAUCUGAGUAUUGGAAUCAAUGUCUGACAAUUUUUUUUCUUUAAAUAACCCCCAACAGCUUUGCCACCACCAGUUGUCACCUGUGUGUUUUUAAGCCAUCGUGUCCUUGAAAGGAGUGCCAUCUCUUACGUAUCCUGUUUAUUUUCUCAGGUGAAAUGAUCUCACAAAAACAUCUUAACUUAAUGAAAUUACCAGCCUGUACCAAAAAGCUUUCUGUUUGAAUAGGGCAUUUCUUUACUUCCCAAGUAGCUUUGCAAUGAGAAAACUGAUGGUGAUAUAGCUGUUGACCUUAAAGAUGCAAUAUUUGUGAACUUUCUCAGGAGAAGGUUGUGCUAUUUACCUGGUCCUUCAGUGAAAUAUGAUGCUUCCUUACAGAGGUAGAAACGCUUUGGAUUUUAGAUCCACAAUGUGACAGGUUUCCUUACUUUCAUUGCCCACUGCCUGCAUUUUGUUUGGAAGCUGGAACAAGAGAGCUGCUGAUACUGUUUCAGUGGAUUCCUUUGUUGUGUUCUCUUCUCAAUUUGAAAACCAUAAGAAUUGCUACUCAAUAAAAAAAAUAACAGUUG
rnacentral:lncRNA from 10 species